rnacentral:tRNA from 2 species
GCUGAUGUAGCUCAGUUGGUAGAGCAACUGAUUCGUAAUCAGUAGGUCGGUGGUUCGAUUCCUCUCAUCAGCACCA